rnacentral:rRNA from 1 species
GACGAACGCUGGCGGCGUGCUUAACACAUGCAAGUCGAACGGAAAGGCCCUGCUUUUGUGGGGUGCUCGAGUGGCGAACGGGUGAGUAACACGUGAGUAACCUGCCCUUGACUUUGGGAUAACUUCAGGAAACUGGGGCUAAUACCGGAUAGGAGCUCCUGCUGCAUGGUGGGGGUUGGAAAGUUUCGGCGGUUGGGGAUGGACUCGCGGCUUAUCAGCUUGUUGGUGGGGUAGUGGCUUACCAAGGCUUUGACGGGUAGCCGGCCUGAGAGGGUGACCGGCCACAUUGGGACUGAGAGACGGACCAGAGUCGUACGGGAGGCAGCAGUGGGGAAUAUUGCACAAUGGGCGGAAGCCUGAUGCAGCAACGCCGCGUGCGGGAUGACGGCCUUCGGGUUGUAAACCGCUUUCGCCUGUGACGAAGCGUGAGUGACGGUAAUGGGUAAAGAAGCACCGGCUAACUACGUG